rnacentral:rRNA from 1 species
AGCCAUCGACCGACUGAGUGAUUGAAAGAUUUUCGGAUCGUAAGCUUUGUUGUUAGGGAAGACCAGUACGUUCGAUAGACGGUACUGACCGUACCUACAGAAAGCCACGGCUAUUACGUGCCCAGCAGCCGCGGUAAUACGUAGGUGGCAGCGUGUCCGGAAUUAUUGGACGUAAAGGGCUCGCAGGCGGUUCCUAAGUUGAUGUGAAAGCCCCCCGGCUCAACCGGGGAGGGUCAUUGGAAACUGGGGAACUUGAGUGCAGAAGAGGAGAGUGGAAUUCCACGUGUAGCGGUGAAAUGCGUAGAGAUGUGGAGGAACACCAGUGGCGAAGGCGACUCUCUGGUCUGUAACUGACGCUGAGGAGCGAAAGCGUGGGGAGCGAACAGGAUUAGAUACCCUGGUAGUCCACGCCGUAAACGAUGAGUGCUAAGUGUUAGGGGGUUUCCGCCCCUUAGUGCUGCAGCUAACGCAUUAAGCACUCCGCCUGGGGAGUACGGUCGCAAGACUGAAACUCAAAGGAAUUGACGGGGGCCCGCACAAGCGGUGGAGCAUGUGGUUUAAUUCGAAGCAACGCGAAGAACCUUACCAGGUCUUGACAUCCUCUGACAAUCCUAGAGAUAGGACGUCCCCUUCGGGGGCAGAGUGACAGGUGGUGCAUGGUUGUCGUCAGCUCGUGUCGUGAGAUGUUGGGUUAAGUCCCGCAACGAGCGCAACCCUUGAUCUUAGUUGCCAGCA